rnacentral:snoRNA from 1 species
GAGUCAGCCAAUGAAUCUGCUUACCUGAAUGUUUGUGCAGAAUUUUUUUAAAAGCUGGCAAUAGUAAAGUCAUGUUACAAGCCUUAAGGACAUUGAAGUCAUUUAAAGUCCCUGAAAAUGGCUAUAAGA